UAAAUUACAAAAAACUCCUCUGUAAUAACCCGCUUUUUCACUUCCCCCCCUGACAUUUAAAAACCUACACUUUGCCCCCUUGUAAAAUGAAAAUAUUCACAGGGAGGUUACGGUGUGUAAAAUGACCAUUUUGCCCCUCGCCAUUUUCAUCUUCUUUCUCAUCUUCCUCAGCUGCCCCUUCGAUCGGCCGCGAUUCCAACCUCAAUCGGCUGCGAUUUCUCUCCAUUUCCUUCUCCACCUGCUCCCCUUCUCCUCUUGCACCCUCGCCGCUCCUCGAUUUCGGCGACAGUAGGGAGGAAACUGAGGUGGGUGUUGAUGGAGAGGUAGGCAAGGGCAACGAAGGCGAAGGCGAGGUGGCGGACGACGGCGAAGGGGAUGUGGGCGAUGGCGAGGCAAUGGAGGACGGCGAGGCAGCUAGGCGGCGAGGCAGCCAGGCGACGGCGAGGUGGCGAGCCGGAGAGAGACGAAGCAACAGAGAAGAGGGCGGAGGGGUAUUUUCGGCAUAAAAAAAAUUUUAUAACG
rnacentral:lncRNA from 1 species